rnacentral:rRNA from 1 species
CCCAGACUCCUACGGGAGGCAGCAGUGGGGAAUAUUGCACAAUGGGGGGAACCCUGAUGCAGCGACGCCGCGUGAGUGAAGAAGUAUUUCGGCAUGUAAAGCUCUAUCAGCAGGGAAGAAAAUGACGGUACCUGACUAAGAAGCCCCGGCUAACUACGUGCCAGCAGCCGCGGUAAUACGUAGGGGGCAAGCGUUAUCCGGAUUUACUGGGUGUAAAGGGAGCGCAGACGGCUGUGCAAGUCUGGAGUGAAAGGCGGGGGCCCAACCCCCGGACUGCUCUGGAAACUGUAAAGCUGGAGUGCAGGAGAGGUAAGCGGAAUUCCUAGUGUAGCGGUGAAAUGCGUAGAUAUUAGGAGGAACACCAGUGGCGAAGGCGGCUUACUGGACUGUAACUGACGUUGAGGCUCGAAAGCGUGGGGAGCAAACAGGAUUAGAUACCCUCGUA